GGACGGGUGAGUAAUGCCUAGGAAUCUGCCUGGUAGUGGGGGACAACGUUUCGAAAGGAACGCUAAUACCGCAUACGUCCUACGGGAGAAAGCAGGGGACCUUCGGGCCUUGCGCUAUCAGAUGAGCCUAGGUCGGAUUAGCUAGUUGGUGAGGGAAUGGCUCACCAAGGCGACGAUCCGUAACUGGUCUGAGAGGAUGAUCAGUCACACUGGAACUGAGACACGGUCCAGACUCCUACGGGAGGCAGCAGUGGGGAAUAUUGGACAAUGGGCGAAAGCCUGAUCCAGCCAAGCCGCGUGUGUGAAGAAGGUCUUCGGAUUGUAAAGCACUUUAAGUUGGGAGGAAGGGCAGUAAGUUAAUACCUUGCUGUUUUGACGUUACCGACAAAAUAAGCACCGGUAACUUUGUGCCACAGCCCGGUAUUCAGAGGGUCAAGCGUUAAUCCGAAUUUCCUGGGCUAAAGCCGCGAGGGGUUCUUAAUUGGGAUGAAAACCCCCCGCUUCACCGGGAACUGUCC
rnacentral:rRNA from 1 species